UUGCAGCAGAAGUCUUGGGUGUUGGAAAAAGGCAUAUGUACUAAGCAACUUAAGUUCAGCGUCCCAGAGUCGUUUUUAUUCAAAGAACCCAUUGCCGAUUUUAUUGAGUGACGAUGGAAGUUAUUGACCCAAUGCCGAUUUUAUUGGCGAUUGCGUGAUGACAAAUCAGAACAAUGUUCCAGCACAUUUUUAAAAACCUGUAAGAUAUGAAGAGAAUUUUCUGGCCCUAAAACAACGCAAUAUCUACAUGUAAAUGGGGAUAAAUUUUCAUCUAAAGCAGACAUACAAGGUGUAAUAUACAGCCUGCCUUUUUCAUAGUGAAUACAUUGAAGAACAGACACCAUGACCCCAAGCUUGCUUCAAAAUAGGCUCCACCCCUGCCUUAACAUGAGAAGUUUUCAAAUCGUUUGACCAUUAUCGAAGGGGCUGAUGAAAUUUCUUAAGUGCUCAAGAAGCAAUGCAGUCACUGUCGGGGAAACGAAGCCAGAAUUGUGUAAAAAUUUGAAAAAUAAAUGCAGGAUUAAUGCUUACAA